rnacentral:lncRNA from 1 species
ACUUCAAGAUACAAUAAAAUAUAGAUGAGGAAGCAAAGACAAGCGGCCUGCAGGCAGUCUGAGUUCAGAUUCAAGCCAAGAGAAGAUCAGGGGUGGAAUCCCGUUUUCUGACUGGAGAAGGUUUCUCAUGAGAGAAGCUCACAGAAAACUAAAACAACCAUGGGCAAAAUGGCAACUACUCUUUUUCUGGAAAGAAAAAAAAUUAAAAACAGACAUCAAAAAGACGGCAGGAAGGAUGGGAGUGAGGAGAGAUGAGUUCAAGUUGAGCAGAAGAAAAAAGAAAACUACAACAAAACAUUCAGAACUAAGCAUGGUUAAAAACUAA